rnacentral:sRNA from 1 species
GAUACUGGGAAGACGUAUCGGUCCACGC